CAGCACUUGAUACACCAUGCUCUGCAGCCUAGCCUGUGUCAAAGGCUUGUGCUGUGUGGUGGUAGCUGCGUUGGAGAAGCAUAGUAUGAAAACAAAAGCCACGAGUCUUUAAGCCCAGUGUGUCAAGACACACACUGACGUAUAACUCAGUGGCACAACU